rnacentral:rRNA from 1 species
UACGGAGGGUGCGAGCGUUGUCCGGAAUGACUGGGCGUAAAGGGCGCGUAGGUGGCACACUAAGUUUAAUGUAAAAGGCCUAGGCUCAACCUAGGUAGGCGUUAAAUACUGGUGAGCUAGAGUGAGGUAGGGGGCCGUGGAAUUUCCAGUGUAGCGGUGAAAUGCGUAGAGAUUGGAAAGAACACCGGUAGCGAAAGCGGCGGCCUGGGUCUCAACUGACACUGAGGCGCGAAGGCGUGGGGAGCAAACAGG